UUGUCCCUUUGGCAGCAUAUAUACUAAAUUUGGAAUAAUACAGAGAAGAUUAGCAAAGGCCCCUGUGCAAUAAUGACAUGCAAAUUCCUGAAGUGUUCCAUAUUAAA
rnacentral:snRNA from 1 species